UAGCGAAAGCGAGUCUGAAUAGGGAGUUUAGUAUUUGGUCGUAGACCCGAAACCAGGAGAUCUACCCUUGGUCAGGUUGAAGUUCAGGUAACACUGAAUGGAGGACCGAACCGACUUACGUUGAAAAGUGAGCUGAUGAACUGAGGGUAGCGGAGAAAUUCCAAUCGAACCUGGAGAUAGCUGGUUCUCUCCGAAAUAUCUUUAGGGCUAGCCUCAAGUGAUGAUUAUUGGAGGUAGAGCACUGUUGGGACGAGGGGCCCCUCUCGGGUUACCGAAUUCAGACAAACUCCGAAUGCCAAUUAAUUUAACUUGGG
rnacentral:rRNA from 1 species